UCAUGGCCCCAAUGGGUCACCAUUUCCGACUUCGGAAUAUGAACAUUCAUCCAUUCCGGCGACGGUGAAGAAGCUCUUCAACCUUUCUUCACCCUUCCUAACCAAGAGGGAUGAAUGGGCUGGAACCUUUGAGGGUGUUGUUCAGACCCUAACUGAACCCAGAACUGAUUGCCCAGUGCAACUACCAACUCCAGUCAAGAUCAGGCAAGGCGACGCCAAUGAAAACGCAACGGUUAGCGAAUUCCAGCAGGAGCUAAUGCAGCUAACAGCAGUGCUAAAAGGAGAUCACCAGGAGAUCACAUAUUUACAAGUUUCCCUGAAAAGACCGGGAAAAUGACAGUAAAGCAAGGAAAGGAAUAUAUGGAAGAUGCAGUGAAACGCUUCUUUGAAGCAGGACUCUAUGCCAAAAAAAUGGGAGUUGAUGAAGAACAAAUUGUUCAAAUGAGGCCAUCCCUCACUUCUAGAUCAUCUAAACCAACCAACAACCACCCAUAAGAACAUAAUGUGAAAUCUUUACAAAUGUAACCUCAGCACCCAUUUAGAAAUGUAAGCACAGCAACAGAAAGUAAAAGCAAAUAAUGGUUUCCCCG
rnacentral:misc_RNA from 1 species